UGUCGGGCAAAAGCAACUACACAAACCAUAGGAGAAAAAAAAAAAAAAACUUUCUUUUCCCCUCUUAACUUUAACCAGUGUAGAGUAACUCUCACAAUUCAGCCUUCCUAGUUCCACCCAGUUACCAUUUUCUUCCGCAUUGUCCCCUUCUUUUCUUUGGCUUGUCACCGUCUAUUUUUUUCCUCUAUGCUAAAUCUUAAACCAUAAUUGUAGGCAUAGAAUAGAGUCACACACACACUCUACUAUUAUCAUUGUUUUUGUUUUUGAACAAAAAAAAUCAAUUCUUGGAGAUUGAUUUUUGGCAUUGACAGUGAAACAAGUCUGCUUUUUGUCUUCUUCUCUGUGACCUCCUUUCACUCUCUACAUUCCGCCAAAUUUGUCUUGUACCUGCACGCGCCUCUUCCGCUCUUCUUCUCUCAAAAACAGAUGGAUAGAAUCAUGGGUUCCAAUCUAAGACCCCAUCUCUUCAACACUCUCUGAUAUGCCUUGUACUGCAUCUCUGAUCCAUCAAGAUAUAAACCUGCAAAAUACUAAUGCUCAUUAUCUGCUACGGAGAUACAAUAACAAUCCAGGGGCAGUUAAGGUUGAAGAAGAAGGAAACUAAGAUAGUCUCACACUAUUAUCGGGCUAUGGAAUCCUUCUCUUGGUGGAAUAUUCUACUCUCUGAUGUGAUGUCUGAUAUCUUGGUACAUAUUGAUUUAUUUAUUUUUCAUUUUCGUGCUGAGAAACCAGGUAUCUUUCUAUAUACCAUAUGAAGAUGAAUCAUGGCAUGUGAUUGAUGUCUUUACUCAAACUAUCUGUUAAUUAACCUGAGAAUAUAUUAAAAUCUGAUUCGUGACUCUCUAUAUGAAGCUCUGAUUUGUAUUCCUUCACAGUUAAAUCCAGAAUUUGUUUUAUUUUCAUCCUGCAGCCUGUCUGCUGUGUGAUUCUGUCGAACAAAUUAAGCAACACGAAUAAAUUUAACAGUUAAAUUUCUUGUAAGACACUUGGCUGCUGUUUCAGAUGCUCGUGUAAGAAAUAUUCCACAAUCUAAACAGAACAGAAAACUAUACUACUGUUAUUUAUUUAUACCCUAUCACCUGCAGUUUUUGUUUUACUUACAUUACAGCUCAUAUGUUUUCCUUUAUAUUCAUUCCAUAAAAUAACUUUCAGCAGUAUUGAUCUUCCAACGUGACUGUAGAUGCUGACAUGGGAAGAACAUUUGUUAAUGAACGCUUGGUUGAAAUUUUCUCUUCUAUGUAAAGGUAAGGAGGAAGUACAUUAUACAUGUAUAGGAGAUGUGCAAGAGAAGCUACCUAAUGGUGUUGUCACUUUGGAGAUUGUAUAUAGUGUUGUCCUUAAUGGAAGAAGAAAAUCUCUUCUGACAAUGCAUCCUCUUGAUUUUCUGCAUCUUUGUUUCUAUAUUCAAUUAUUCAUUAUAAAUUGUGUCAUGAAAUGAUUUAAAGGAGGAAUGUGAUAGAGCAUGUAUAUUUGAAACGGGUGAUUUGAAAUGUUGGUGUAAAAGUAGGUGAUAUUUGAUGU